rnacentral:tRNA from 1 species
GGGCGGUUAGCUCAGCGGUAGAGCGUCUCGUUUACACCGAGAAUGCCGGGGGUUCGAAACCCUCACCGCCCA